GUGUGUAAGGGUCUAGAGUCAACUUAAGAUUUCAGGCAGAAGUGAGAUCCCUGCUGUUGUAUCUGCCAAGCCAUGAAAGUCUGUCUCAAACAGCUGAAGGUCAGAGCUGAACAGGAGAGCCGGACGAUUAUGCAGAAGAGGGAAGGGACAUUGCCAAGAAUAAGGAGCAUUUCUGAAACCUAACAUCCACCAUAAGGAACAAACAAAAGACUGUGCUUGCGUCCAUAUGGGCAGAUACUCACUUUCUGUGCUUAAAAUUCCUUAAAGGCUCAAUUGUCCACGUUUGGCACAUCAAAGAGGAUUUUACUGGGCACAUCAGAAGGGUGUUCCUUUCAAAAGAGCCACAGAAUCAAACGAGGACAUAAAAGUGCAAUUUAUCACUCUGUCAAGGUUCAGCAAGGUGCUGGUCCACAUGCCAGGAGCUCCUGAAACCAAGGGGAACCAUCAAUUCAAUAAUCAAUGACAAGAGUCAGUAUGAGCUCUGUCAACGGAUUUGCCAUAUACUGUCAGACUCUCAACAGCUGUUGGCCAAUGUCGGCCAUAAAACUGGAACUUUGUGCAGGGCUGGUGCAUUCAAACGUUCUGAAGCCGUCUCAGCAAAAGACUCAUUCUAGUGUCUGUGUCAAAAGCCUGGGGAGAAACCGAAUUCUAGGACGUCCCCCGCCCACCUGAGAUUCCCGGCUCCUGCUGUCCCUACACCUUUCCCAGUUACACAAUCAAACGCUAAUCGAGGUACUGCUAAGAAAAGAUUCUGCAGGUGUAAUUAAGGUCCCAAGUCAGCUGGCCUUAGGAGACAGAGGUUAUCCCGGUGGGCCUCACCUCACCACCUGAGCCCUGCGAAGCUGGGUCCAAACAGCAGAGACAGAAAAGUCAGAGAUUCAAAGGAUGAGGACAGAUAUGCCACUGCUGGCUUGAAGACGGAGGAGGUCGUGUGGCAAGGAAUGUGGGCAGCCUCCUGGAGCUGAGAGUGCUCCCCCGGUUCUAAUGCCCACCGAAGACACCGAAUUCCACCACUGCCAAGAAUCGUCGCAGACACAGAAUUUUCCCCAGGGCAUCCAGAUGGCAACUCAGGCCAAGGGACACUUUGGUUCCAGCCUGGCGAUACCCUGAGCAGAGAGCCCAGCUCCCCCCGUGCUGAUCCUCUCACCUACAGGUCGGUGAACGAGCGGUUAUGCUGAGCCUAAGCUUGUGUAACUCGUCACACGGUAACAGAAAAGUAACACAAUACCUCCGCGUUGUCUGAAGAGCAGAGGGAGACAACUCUCAAGUGUGGGUGGGAUGCAACUGCUUUCAGGAUCCUCCACUGCUUUUCUAGGUCCAGUAUCUCAGCUGAAGGUUGGCCAUCAGAAUUAAGAUAAAAACAUGGAAGGGGCGGAAAUGUGAGUCAAGGUCACGAUGUGUCACUUCACAGCCAUUACGAUGGCUAUUAAAGUGAAGGACCGUAACAAGUGCUGGUGAGGAUAUAGGGAAAUGGGAAUCCUCACACACUGCUGGUGGGAAGGUAAAAUGGUGCAGCCACUUUGGAAGACAGUCUGGCAAGUCCUUAAAAGGUUAAGCACAGAGUUACCACACGACCCAGCAAUUGUACUCCUACGUAUAUACCCAAGAGAAUUUAAAACACGUCCACAUGAAAGCUUGGGCACGAAUGCUCUUAGCAGCAUUAUUUGUAAGAGCCAAAAAGCAGAAACAACCCAAACAUCAGUCAGUGGGUGAAUGCGUAAAUAAAGUGUUACAUAUCCGCACAACGGAGUAUGAUCCAACCGUAAAAAGGGGUGAAGUUCUGACACCUGCUACAAUGUGGACGAACCUUGCAAACAUGAUGCCAAGUGAAAGAAGCCAGACACAAAGGCCAUAUAACUGUCUGAAUCCAUUUACGUGAAACAUCCAGAAUCGGCAGAGCCCCUGAGGCAGAAGGUAGAUUACGCGGCCGGGGGAAGGAGAAAUAGAGACUGAUUGUGAAUAGGUCUGGGGCUCCUUAUGGGAUGAUGGAAAUGUUCCGGAAUUAGAUAGUGGUAAUGUUUGCAAAACAUAGUGGGAAUACUAAAAACCGAUGAAAUGUACACUUUAAAAGGGUGCAUUUUAUGCUAUGCGAGUGACAUUUCAAUGAAAAUUUAAAAAAAUAAAAUAAAAACAGAAGUGACAAA